rnacentral:rRNA from 1 species
UACGAAGGGAGCUAGCGUUGUUCGGAAUCACUGGGCGUAAAGCGCACGUAGGCGGAUUUGUCAGUCAGGGGUGAAAUCCCGGAGCUCAACUUCGGAACUGCCUUUGAUACAGCGCAUCUGGAGUCCGGAAGAGGUGGGUGGAAUUCCGAGUGUAGAGGUGAAAUUCGUAGAUAUUAGGAAGAACACCGGUGGCGAAGGCGGCCCACUGGUCCGGUACUGACGCUGAGGUGCGAAAGCGUGGGGAGCAAACAGG